GGCGGACGGGUGAGGAACACAUAGGAAUUGGCCCUUAAGUGGGGGAUAACCCGGGGAAACCCGGAUUAAUACCGCAUGAACUCGAGAGAGCAAAGCAGGGGACCUUCGGGCCUUGCGCUUUUGGAGAAGCCUAUGUCGGAUUAGCUAGUUGGUGAGGUAAUGGCUCACCAAGGCUGCGAUCCGUAACUGGUCUGAGAGGAUGAUCAGUCACAUCGGAACUGAGACACGGUCCGAACUCCUACGGGAGGCAGCAGUGGGGAAUAUUGGACAAUGGGCGAAAGCCUGAUCCAGCAAUACCGCGUGUGUGAAGAAGGCCUUCGGGUUGUAAAGCACUUUAGGUCGGAAAGAAAAAACUUGGGUUAAUACCUUAAGUCUUGACGGUACCGACAGAAUAAGCACCGGCUAACUCUGUGCCAGCAGCCGCGGUAAUACAGAGGGUGCGAGCGUUAAUCGGAAUUACUGGGCGUAAAGCGCGCUAGGGUGGUUUGUUAAGGGUGGGGAUGUGAAAUCCCCGGGCUCAACCUGGGAACUGCAUUCAAAACUGACAAGCUAGAGUAUGGUAGAAGGGUGGGUGUGGAUUUCCUGUGUAGCGGUGAAAUGCGUAGAUAUAGGAAGGAACACCAGUGGCGAAGGCGACCACCUGGACUGAUACUGACACUGAGGUGCGAAAGCGUGGGGAGCACACAGGAUUAGAUACCCUGGUAGUCCACGCCGUAAACGAUGUCAACUAGCCGUUGGGAGCCUUGAGCUCUUAGUGGCGCAGCUAACGCAUUAAGUUGACCGCCUGGGGAGUACGGCCGCAAGGUUAAAACUCAAAUGAAUUGACGGGGGCCCGCACAAGCGGUGGAGCAUGUGGUUUAAUUCGAAGCAACGCGAAGAACCUUACCAGGCCUUGACAUCCAAUGAACUUUCCAGAGAUGGAUUGGUGCCUUCGGGAACAUUGAGACAGGUGCUGCAUGGCUGUCGUCAGCUCGUGUCGUGAGAUGUUUGGGGUUAAGUCCCGUAACGAGCCGCAACCCUUGUUCUUAUUUACCACCACGUAAUGGUGGCACUUCUAAGGA
rnacentral:rRNA from 1 species